GUGAUCGCUUUGGCAGCACAUAAACUAAAAUUGGACUGAUACAGAGGAAAUCAGCAUGGGUCCCAUGCAAGGAUGACAAGCAUAUUUAUGAAGCAUUGCAUAUUUUU
ensembl:snRNA U6 U6 spliceosomal RNA